rnacentral:rRNA from 1 species
CCUACGGGAGGCAGCAGUAGGGAAUAUUGCUCAAUGGGGGAAACCCUGAAGCAGCAACGCCGCGUGGGGGAUGAAGGUUUUCGGAUUGUAAACUCCUUUUGUUAGAGAAGAUAAUGACGGUAUCUAACGAAUAAGCACCGGCUAACUCCGUGCCAGCAGCCGCGGUAAUACGGCGUGUGCAAGCGUUACUCGGAAUCGCUGGGCGUAAAGAGCGCGUAGGCGGGAUAGCAAGUCAGAUGUGAAAGCCUAGGGCUUAACCAUAGAACUGCAUUUGAAACUGUUAUUCUAGAGUAUGGGAGAGGUAGGUGGAAUUCUUGGUGUAGGGGUAAAAUCCGUAGAGAUCAAGAGGAAUACUCAUUGCGAAGGCGACCUGCUAGAACAUAACUGACGCUGAUGCGCGAAAGCGUGGGGAGCAAACAGGAUUAGAUACCCGAGUAGUC